AAUAACUCGUGACAAAUUAACGAAGAACAUUUUUUGGCCAAUCUGGGUCAAGUUGACAAAAUAUCUGUCAAGUGGAAAAUGUCUUUCAGAGGUGGAUCAAGGAAUGAGCAAGGAAAAGCCAUGAAACAGUAUGGACAUCCAGGGUGGCAGGAGUCAAGACAAAACUACGCAGAGCAAGCAGCUUGAGACUCAGUUGAGGUCUAAGCUCAGUGGUGAGUCAUUGGAGAAGAAGAUGAAGGCAGAAGUCUGCAUUUACAAGCCAAGGGAUACCAAGGGUGAAGCACAUGCAACAGUUACGAGUCAGAGCCUUCAAAGGAGCCAACCUGCCGAUACCGUGACUGCAUAGAUUUGUCCUCCAUCACUGUGUGUUGUUUUAAGCCACCAAGACUGUAGAAAUUAAUUAUGGCCACCUUUACAAACUAAUGUGAUGAUGAUCAAACUAAAUAGUUAACAUAGUAAGGGGCUUGUUAUUUAAAGUAGAUGUUGUCAAAUUAGGACCCAGUGGCCUGAAUCUAGUUGCUGUCUGAUAUGGAAACACAGCCACUGUCAUUUGCUUAUAUCAUAUCUGGUUGCUUUUGUGCCCAAACAGCAGAGUUGAGUUGCCUUGACAGAAGCUACACGUCACACACAGACGAACAUGUUACUGAAGUUUUUAAUUUUUUUGGAUGCAAAUCUACCUUCCUUAUGAAAGAAAUUGCCGGUUGGGAUUUUAUGAUGACUGCUUUAGCUAGUUUUAAUGUCUGCCUUGAAAAAUCGAUGUUAUAUUUUAAAUUUGGUUAGAGCACAUCUCUCCCACAGCACUGGUGUUAUGGACUAAGAGAAGCUCCACAAAGCCAGCUGGCCUGCACCUUUUGUACAGCGUCAAGGUGGAUCAUUUAGUUCAACCUCUUCACUCGACUUCCUGGACUUUACGUAAACUGGAAGCAUUAUUAGGCUGGUAGAUGGAGCAAGCAAUAAACAUACUCUUAGAGUAAAGAAAAGGACUAUCUAUCAUUGUAUUGAAGGACUGUCUUUCCCCCCAUGAUCCAGGCGCCUCUUACUUGAUUAGUAAUGAGGAUCCAAACAGAUGAGUUUUUCCUUGAGUGUGUGAAGAUCUCCCAGCUCGUAAAAGAGAGACACAGGGACUGAACGUAAGAAGCUUUCAAUAGCUUAGCUACUGACUUGAGUUUUGCAUAUGAGAUUCAUAAUUUCUCCAUAAAGAAAGUUAUAUUCAGUGACAAUGCAUGAUUUUCUUCUAACCUUUUUUUUCACAAGUUUUCUAGGAGAACAUUUAGAAAUUCGGUUGUUGAAUCUCUAUUUGAACAUUUCUGCCUGGCUCUGAAAAGAUUGGUGUGUGUGUGUGUGUGUGUGUGUGUGUUCACUCCUAUGUUUUAAUGUAGGAGGGUGUAAAUGUGUGUGCACGUGUGUGCUUGACAUUUGUGUGCAUGUGGAGGCCAGAUGUCACCCUCAGGAAUCAUUCCCCAGGGGCUGUCCAUUUUGUUUUUCGAGACAGGGUCUCUCAUUGUCCGGGGCUUGCCAGUUUGGCUAGACUGGUUAGUCAGCAAGGACCAAGUUUUCCUCCUGUUGCCACCUCCUUACCACUGGGGUUAUAGGCACAUGCAAUCAUGCCCAGAUUUUUAUUUCUUAAAUUUUAUUUAUUUGUUUAUUGUCUUUAUGUAUGUGUGUGUGUGUGUGUUGCACACAUGGAGAUCACAGGACAAAUUUCUGGAGUUGUCUUUCUUCUUCCACCAUGUGGGUCCCAGGAGUCCAACUCUGGUCCACAGGCUUGGCUGCUGGUACAGUUACCUGCUGAGCCAACUUUCUGGCCCCAUGCCAAGCUUUUCAGUGUGGGCUCCGGGAAUUGAACUCAGAUCCUCAUGAUUGUAUGGCAAGAAUUUUACUGACUAAGCUAUCUCCCCAGACCCUGAACAUUUUUUUUUCUCAUAAAACUUAAAGUUCUUGAAAAUUUACUCCAAGGAAAUAAUGAAAUAGCCAACAUUUUUCAGAGCAUUGUCUGUAGCCAUGAGAAUUUACGAAUUACUUACAUUUUAAGCAAUAGCAGAGAAUUGGUUAAGUAAGUUACAGUGCUCUAAUGCUCAUUCUGAGAGUUAUCCUUCAAUAUUUAAUAAUGUAGAAAGAUGCUUUUGGUAUAAUUUUAUAAAACUAGAAAGGCGGGAAAGAUAGGGUAUAUGUGGUACAUAACAGACACAUGUUCAGGGAAGCAGUGGCGAGGUUUGAGUAGUUUGAAGACAUCCCUGUGCCUGCCUCCAUUCUCUACUGUUUCAUUAAUGUUUUUAAUCACUGUAAAAUAAGAAAAGGAGGCAGUCUGCUUCUUUAAGUAUUUUUACCUGGAGUGGAAAAUUGUGAAUUGACGUAAAAGCCAAGUUCUUUCCCCCUUCUCUGGGAGCUGACAAAGUGCUUCAAUUGUGGCUUGUUAGAACAGCACCUUUGGGACAGUCAGGUCCCCCACACCCCACUCCAUCCCCCGCCAAGUCUCAGUUUCUUCACCUGCAUCCAGUAUGGAGCAUCAAGGAGUUCACAGAGAACCGGAGUUCCUGGUGAGCUAGUGUCAAAAGUGUGGUCUUUAAGCUCACCGACUCACUGGAAUCCCACACCUACAGUGGCCCCAGCUGAGGCUGGCACCAGUUGCCCCUGCUCCGUGAUUGCUCCCUGAGGAAGCCCAGCUAGCACAGGCUCUCCCAACACUUAUUUAGAUGGAAGCUGAAAGAUGUACUACUUCCCUGCUCUGGGGGCCGUAGGGUCAGAUUGGUUGUUUUAUGAGAUUAUUUCUCUCAUUUUAAGUCCUCUUUGUCUUGAUCAAGUGGUGGCAAUGCAUUUUCUUAGGAAAAAAAAUUUCCAUUAAAAAAAUUUAAUUUGUACUAAUCAGCCCCAGGCAGAGAGUCUGCAAUAAGCUUGAUGUCGAUUUCAUGUUUCGCUGAAGUUGGUGAAAUGUUUUGCUUAGGACUGUCCCGCCUCCCCUAUCUACUCUCUUUCUCUUUCUGAGUGUGCAUACGUGCAGGGUAGGAGAGAAAUCAUCAAAUAUGAUUUUCAGAAAAUAAAAACCCUGAAUAUUGCAUUUGGGCUCUGAAACUUCGAUUAUCUUCCCUUGAAUUAACCCUUUCUCUCCCCCACCUUCACAUCCCUCCUCUCUCAAGACAGGAUCUCACUAUGUAUUCUAGGUCUAUAAUUUGUAACCCGUGCCUCUGCUUCCUGUGUGUUAGGCCUGCUGAGCUUGUGUAACUUUACCUGCAUUUCCAGCAUCCUCUGAGCCACCCAGGAUCAAAUACACCCCUGGGAUACAUUGAGGCAUUUCCCUAACAAGACUUUAGAUUUCUUCAAGACAGGCAUUGUAAUUUUACCAAUUUUGUGUUCUCUUUUCUCUCUUCUCCUUUCUCUAUCCUUCCCUCCCUCCCUCCAUCAUCCUUUCCUUCUUUUAUUCUUUCUUGUUGAGUGUAGCUCACAGUGCUGUCUGAGAAAGCACAGGGCUUGUGGUGUCUGUGGUACAGAUACAAAGAUGUAGAGGGAGAUAAUAAAAGAAGAGUUGAAACGCACAUACACUGUGCUGUGCACCUAUCCACCUAUCUGCAUCCUGUAGAUACUGCUUGGCAGCUUACUGAGAUCCUUGCACUGUUCUCAGCGCUAAGGCCAUAGCAUAAGUAAGACUGGCUAUGGUUCCCGCUUUACCUAAGGUAGAACUUAUAACACAGUGCAAAACACAGCUAAACAAUGGAAGGAUUAUUUCUCAUGAUGGGAAAAAAAUCACAGAGGAGAAAAAUAGCACAAAGAGAGAAAAGGCUGAUGGUGACAGUGCUACGAAGAGUGAUCUAAUGGCAUUCUAGGAGUAGAAGGCACAAGGCCGAGGGUCAGCCUGAGUUCUCGCUGUGAGUCAUUUUUAGGUGUAGCAGGGACCAAGUUCUUAAGUGUUUCUCAUUUGUACUCAACUCCCUUUCUCUUUGGUUUCCUUCUGCCUUCCUCCCCCUCUCUUUUCUCUUUCUUGCUGUUUCCUCCUCCCCCUCUUGCUGUUUCCUCCUCCCCCUCUUCCCGUCUCUUGGAGCUUGAACCCAAAGUCGUGUGAACACUGAACAAAUGUGCUGCUACUGAGCCCUUUCACCCAGUUCUUUCAUGUUUGAGAGAGAUCUCAUGUAGUUCAGGAUGACCUUAAGAUCCUGAACUUUCUGCCUCUAAGUUUUGGGAUUUAUAGGCAUACACCACCAAAUCUGGCUCACUCUAUGCUCUCUUUCUCUGUCUGUCUCUCUCUUCCUGUGUGUGUCUCUAUCUCUUUCUGACUUUGUCUGUCUGUCUGUCUCUCUGCUCUCUUAAGCCUGCCUGCCUGCCUCUCUGUCUGUCUGUCUUUGACUCUCCUCAUCUCUCUAUAGGAUUCAAUAUAGCUAAGGUUGGCCUUGAACUCAAUAUGUAGCCAAGUGUGACCUUAACCUUCUGGUACUCCUGCUUCCUUCAGGUCACUGUGAUUAUAGGACUAUGAUACCAUAUUUAAUUUAUGUGAUUCCUGAGAUUGAACCCAGGGCUUUGUGAACUCUAGGUAAGUGUUCAGUCCACUGGGCUCCAUCCUCAGACUUGUGGCUCACUCGAUCAUUGAUUAAAUAGAAUGUAAUUGUCAGGAGUAAACUAUUAUUGGUAGUUACAUCAUUUAAGGGCCCAAUGGGGAAAAUGCAUAUAUGCAUUUUUAGCAUUCGCUGUUGGUUCAUGGCUAUAGACAGGCAGGACCUACCUGUGUGGACUUGUCCUGGAAGCUGCCAGAAGACGGUCUCACUGGGAAAGAAAAGGGGAGGAUUCGUUUGUUUUACAUGUGAGUGGGUAUAGGCUAACAUUGGUAGAUGUGUGGGCCUUCUGAGUGGGGCAGAGACAGAGAGCAGCAUUUUCCCAAUGCACAACAAAACAGUUUAUUUAAAAGCAAUGCAUCCAGUACUGUGUUUGACACAUGGCGCAACAAGGCAGGCACAUUCAUACUUAACAAGUACAUUUCGGAAGCUGUCGAAGCAAACUUUUGUAUUUUCUUCGCAAAGUACAGUCACAACACACACACACACCACACACACACAGAGUUAUCUCUGUGAAAGAUGGUCAUUCUUGCUCACCUAGAAGGCAGGAUAUAUUUACAUGGUGCUCAGCCCAGACGUGCUGGCUUCUUUCAGGCCUCUGUGGCCCUCAUUGUCUUGCAGCUUCUUUCCAAAGACAGGUAAGGGUGCCUCCCACAAGACAAAUGAGACUCUGAUUGGUAAAGCCCCCCCCCAUGUCUUUCGAAGACCAUAAAAUGUCCAGUGUGGUUGAGUGGGGGUAAAGUGUCUCCACAUACAAUGGCACUUCCCAAAACAAAUAGGUCAAUGAGGGUGGGGGAAGGGCUGCUAUGACAAUAACAAGAGGUUUUCACCUGGCAUGUUUGUUCAUCCCGCUUAUUUCUUUAAUAACUUACAUUCACCAUUUUGUCACAUUUUAACCUUUUGGUUUUAUCAUCACAAUAUAAAGGACUCUAUUCUACAUCAUUCUAUUCCAUUCCUUAAAAUGAUACUGAAACUAAAGAAUAAAACAAAACAA